CUUCCCACCCAGCCUUCCCACUACAGCACCGAUCCUUCCUAGAGAGGGUCUGUCCUGGGCUGGUACUCACUGGUUCUUCUCCAAUUCAAGCAGGAGAUCCUGGCCUUCAGCCACUAAAGCCACCAGCAGCACAUCUGGCUUCAAGACCUGACCGAGAAGGAAUGCAGUGACACACUAGGCCUCUAGGCCACCUGCCUGACAGGGAACAGCACGUUUAGAAUCAAGCUGGAACUGACCCAAUGGCUACCUUUCAUAGUGCCAGAAGAUGCUAUGCAGUUUUCUGGGGGAGAAAAGUCAUCAAUGGUAUUGCCCAAUGGUGAACCUUGAAUGCUACAAAAAUGAGCUGCCAGUUCCCCAAGGGACAUCAGGGAAGAGGGGACAGGAAGAAUGUAGGUGCUGGAGGAUGAGAGGAGUACUAUAAACUGCUGUGUUGUGGACAUGACGUGGCCAUUGCCCUCAUGAAUGCAGCAGUGGCUUCCUACACAAGACCAAACCAGCAAGAGCAGUCACCAUUCCAACAGGCAGCACCGAUUGGACUCCGAGUCAUAAAAAUAAAUAGUAAGUAAAUAAAUGAGAGGAC